AACCUUGAUGGGUUGAGGUCAAAAAGAUAAACUUCUUAGAACACUGCGCUUGUCUAAGAAACUGAUAUAUUUUACAUAUUUUUCACAAAUAACAAUAUACUAGUGAGUAUUAUAAGACAUAGUCACCGAUACUAGCAAAAUAUCUUCACGUUAAGAAAAAGUUGUGCAAAAUGAAAUUCUUGUUUAAUUUCUUUUGUAUUGCAAUUUUGGCUGUCGCAAGUUUGGUGACAGCUUUCCCAUUUGGAGACAAUUCACGUAAUGUAGGAGUUCGUGGGUCUGAUCAUUUUCAUGGUGCUUAUCGACACUCUCAGGAUGGCGUGGGUCAUGGACUACCAGGAAGUAGAGGAUUCCACAGUGACAGGAUUUCUUCACCAAAGGGCACUUCUGUAGGAGGCACACGAGUCUAUGGCUCGUAAAAUAUCAAUUUAAAUAAAAAUAGUGUUUUAGUCAGACUCAGGGGUGUCAAUUUUAAUCCUAGUAAAACUAAAUAAAAGUAGACGAUUAAGACUGUAGUGUUUUUGUAACUAGACUAAAUUAUCAGGCUCUGAUCAUUUAAAAUGUCAGCUUUUACAGCUAUGAAAAUCUUAGAAAAUAAAAUUGUAGUUCUAACAUGAUGCAACUUUAUUUUUUGUAAAACUGUAAAAUUAAAGUUGUAAUAAUUA